CAGUCGCCGCGGGAAUACGAAGGUCCCGAGCGUUGUUCGGAAUCACUGGGCGUAAAGGGAGCGUAGGCGGUAUGGUAAGUCAGAUGUGAAAUCCCGGGGCUCAACCCCGGAACUGCAUCCGAUACUGCCGUGCUAGAGGACUGGAGAGGCAACUGGAAUUCUCGGUGUAGCAGUGAAAUGCGUGGAGAUCGAGAGGAACACUCGUGGCGAAAGCGAGUUGCUGGACAGUAUCUGACGCUGAGGCUCGAAGGCCAGGGUAGCGAAAGGGAUUAGAUACCCCCGUAGUCCCUGUCUCUUAUAC
rnacentral:rRNA from 1 species